rnacentral:lncRNA from 1 species
ACCACCCUUACCUCUUUCCAUAGCAUUUGUCUUCUAACAUACAGCAUAUUCUUUUUUUAUUUAGGGCUGUUAUUCAACGUCUAACUCCUCAUGGUAGAAUAUAUAUUCUUUCUGGAUGGGGAUCCUUAUCUGUUUCAUUCGUUCUUGUGCUCUUAGAGUCAGCAAGAUGAGGACACACCAUAAUGUUUCCAUUGGAUGGCAGUUGGCAGCAGCAUUCACCAUAUGUUUAAUCACAUCUUAUAAAGACACUCGUGAAAGAAGACUUCCAGAACUGCUUCAGAAAGUGGCAAGAAUGAUGGGUUUUAAAAUGCUGGUGGGUUGGCUGCAGAUGUCAAGAUGCCAGCUAGACCUUCCCAGGGACCAGUGGCCACUGCACCCUACAUUACGAACACUGUCCAGGCAAGAGAGAAGGUUUGUACAUGCUCCUCUUGAGGAGUGUUUCUUCUUAUUGGAGCAGGGUUGGUAGUGUUGGGGGUAGGGGAAAUAAUAAAACUAAACAUUUAACAUUUUUAUG